rnacentral:ncRNA from 1 species
AAUAUAUAGAGUCCGAUAGGUGUACUAAGUACUUAAUAGGGAAUUUGGUGAAAAUCCAAAGCUAUCCCAGUAACUGUAAGUGAGGACGACUUAGCAAAAGCCACUAAUUUAUUUUGGGAAGGCGCUAAGAAGUAUGAUUCACAAGCCAGGAGACCUGCCAUGGGAUUAUGAAAUUU